rnacentral:rRNA from 1 species
UACGUAGGUGGCAAGCGUUAUCCGGAUUUAUUGGGUGUAAAGGGCGUGUAGGCGGGACUGCAAGUCAGAUGUGAAAACUCGGGGCUCAACCUCGAGCCUGCAUUUGAAACUGUAGUUCUUGAGUGCUGGAGAGGCAAUCGGAAUUCCGUGUGUAGCGGUGAAAUGCGUAGAUAUACGGAGGAACACCAGUGGCGAAGGCGGAUUGCUGGACAGUAACUGACGCUGAGGCGCGAAAGCGUGGGGAGCAAACAGG